rnacentral:lncRNA from 1 species
CAGGUCUCCGAGGAAGUCAGCUUCUGGCCUCAAAGCUGUUCUGAAGCUCCUGGGAGGAAAAGGGAGGUGAGGUGGCAAGAGCCCUUGCGCGGGAUCAACGGACGGGGCCCCUAACUCGGUGUCUGUCACGCUUGAGGCGGCCAUGGGCGUUAAGGAGCGUGAGUAACCCGAUGUCCCGGGGGCGCCGCAAAAAGAAGCGAGAAUUAACACGGAUUGAGGGUCCUCGAGGUGCUGGCACCCUGCAAAUACCGUCUUAUUUAAACCCUCAACAAUCCCUUAUGACCCCCAGGAAGAUCAAGGACCUUCAGGUGUCCGUAGACCGCCCUUUGAGAACCGCUGCUCUGGGAUGCAAGCCCAGGAGUGAAGCUGCUGCAUCACAAGGUAGGUAUAACUUUAUCUUUCCCAGAAAGUGCCACACUCUUCCAAGGUGGUUGGACUCAUUCAUAUUCUCAUCCACAGCCUAGAAUUCCCAUCACUCCACAUUAUCACCACCAGCUGCUAGGGCCUUGGUGCUUCAUAGUGGUUUUCUUUGCACUUCUCUCAUUAAAGAGGGGAAUGAGGUGGAGCUAGUCUUCAUAUGUUUAUUGGCUUUGUGGAUUUUCUUUUUGAUGAGGUGUCUAUUCAAAUCUCAUGCCCAUUUUUCACAUUAGUUGUGUGAGUUUGUAUAUGUCUUAGAUUCAAGUCCUUUGUUGGUUCUAUCUGUAGCUAAUAUCUUCUCCAAUGCUGUGGCUUCAGUUUGCACUCUCUUAGGUAUCAUUUCAUGAGCAUAAGUUCUUUAAUGUAGUUGAAUUUAUCGAAUUUUUAUGGUCUUGCUUUUUAUAUUAUUUAAGAAUCCUUUCCCUAUCCCAAAGUUAUAAAGUAAAAAAAUUCUUCCAUAUUAUCUUC